AGUGGCAGACGGGUGAGUAACGCGUGGGAACCUACCUAGUAGUACGGAACAACAGUUGGAAACGACUGCUAAUACCGUAUACGCCCCCCGGGGGAAAGAUUUAUCGCUAUUAGAUGGGCCCGCGUUGGAUUAGCUUGUUGGUGAGGUAACGGCUCACCAAGGCGACGAUCCAUAGCUGGUCUGAGAGGAUGAUCAGCCACACUGGGACUUAGACACGGCCCAGACUCCUACGGGAGGCAGCAGUGGGGAAUAUUGCACAAUGGGCGCAAGCCUGAUGCAGCCAUGCCGCGUGAGUGAAGAAGGCCCUAGGGUUGUAAAGCUCUUUCGGCGGGGACGAUAAUGACGGUACCCGCAGAAGAAGCCCCGGCUAACUCCGUGCCAGCAGCCGCGGUAAUACGGAGGGGGCUAGCGUUGUUCGGAAUUACUGGGCGUAAAGCGCGCGUAGGCGGAUCUUUAAGUCAGGGGUGAAAUCCCGGGGCUCAACCUCGGAACUGCCCUUGAUACUGGAGAUCUUGAGUCCGGAAGAGGUUAGUGGAAUUCCAAGUGUAGAGGUGAAAUUCGUAGAUAUUUGGAAGAACACCAGUGGCGAAGGCGGCUAACUGGUCCGGUACUGA
rnacentral:rRNA from 1 species